rnacentral:rRNA from 1 species
GGUAACCUACCUAUAAGACUGGGACAACUUCGGGAAACCGGAGCUAAUACCGGAUAAUAUGUUGAACCGCAUGGUUCAAUAGUGAAAGAUGGUUUUGCUAUCACUUAUAGAUGGACCCGCGCCGUAUUAGCUAGUUGGUGAGGUAACGGCUCACCAAGGCAACGAUACGUAGCCGACCUGAGAGGGUGAUCGGCCACACUGGAACUGAGACACGGUCCAG